rnacentral:rRNA from 1 species
UACGGAGGGUGUAAGCGUUGUCCGGAUUUAUUGGGUUUAAAGGGUGCGUAGGCGGCUUGUUAAGUCAGCGGUGAAAUCCCAGGGCUCAACCCUGGAACUGCCGUUGAUACUGGCAAGCUUGAGUUCGGUCGAGGCGGGCGGAACUGGUGGUGUAGCGGUGAAAUGCAUAGAUACCACCAAGAACCCCGAUUGCGAAGGCAGCUCGCUGGGCCGAAACUGACGCUGAGGCACGAAAGCGUGGGGAGCGAACAGG